UAUUGCAACAUGAAUACAUAGUGUUGCAAGGCGAACGAGGGGAAGUGAAACAUCUCAGUACCCUUAGGAAAAGAAAUCAAUUGAGAUUCCCUCAGUAGCGGCGAGCGAACGGGGAUCAGCCCAUUAAGUUAUGUGUGUUUUAGUGGAACGCUCUGGGAAGUGCGAACGUAGAGGGUGAUAUUCCCGUACACGAAAGGGCACACAUAAUGAUGACGAGUAGGGCGAGGCACGUGAAACCUUGUCUGAAUAUGGGGGGACCAUCCUCCAAGGCUAAAUACUCCUGACUGACCGAUAGUGAACCAGUACCGUGAGGGAAAGGCGAAAAGAACCCCUGUGAGGGGAGUGAAAUAGAUCCUGAAACCGCAUGCAUACAAGCAGUGGGAGCACCUUCGUGGUGUGACUGCGUACCUUUUGUAUAAUGGGU
rnacentral:rRNA from 1 species